rnacentral:rRNA from 1 species
GGGUUGUGAGGUUAAGCGACUAAGCGUACACGGUGGAUGCCUAGGCAGUCAGAGGCGAUGAAGGGCGUGCUAAUCUGCGAUAAGCGUCGGUAAGCUGAUAUGAAGCGUUAUACCCGACGAUACCCGAAUGGGGAAACCCAGUGUGUUUCGACACACUAUCAUGACAUGAAUACAUAGUGUCAUGAGGCGAACCGGGGGAACUGAAACAUCUCAGUACCCCGAGGAAAAGAAAUCAACCGAGAUUCCCCCAGUAGCGGCGAGCGAACGGGGAGGAGCCCAGAACCUGAAUCAGUUUGUGUGUUAGUGGAAGCGUCUGGAAAGUCGCACAGUAAAGGGUGAUAGUCCCGUACACAAAAAUGCACAAGUUGUGAGUUCGAUGAGUAGGGCGGGACACGUGACAUCCUGUCUGAAUAUGGGGGGACCAUCCUCCAAGGCUAAAUACUCCUGACUGACCGAUAGUGAACCAGUACCGUGAGGGAAAGGCGAAAAGAACCCCGGCGAGGGGAGUGAAAUAGAACCUGAAACCGUGUACGUACAAGCAGUGGGAGCCUACUUGUUAGGUGACUGCGUACCUUUUGUAUAAUGGGUCAGCGACUUAUAUUCUGUAGCAAGGUUAACCGUAUAGGGGAGCCGCAGGGAAACCGAGUCUUAACUGGGCGUUAAGUUGCAGGGUAUAGACCCGAAACCCGGUGAUCUAGCCAUGGGCAGGUUGAAGGUUGGGUAACACUAACUGGAGGACCGAACCGACUAAUGUUGAAAAAUUAGCGGAUGACUUGUGGCUGGGGGUGAAAGGCCAAUCAAACCGGGAGAUAGCUGGUUCUCCCCGAAAGCUAUUUAGGUAGCGCCUCGUGAAUUCAUCUUCGGGGGUAGAGCACUGUUUCGGCUAGGGGGUCAUCCCGACUUACCAACCCGAUGCAAACUACGAAUACCGAAGAAUGUUAUCACGGGAGACACACGGCGGGUGCUAACGUUCGUCGUGAAGAGGGAAACAACCCAGACCGCCAGCUAAGGUCCCAAAGUCAUGGUUAAGUGGGAAACGAUGUGGGAAGGCACAGACAGCCAGGAUGUUGGCUUAGAAGCAGCCAUCAUUUAAAGAAAGCGUAAUAGCUCACUGGUCGAGUCGGCCUGCGCGGAAGAUGUAACGGGGCUAAACCAUGCACCGAAGCUGCGGCAGCGACACUUAGGUGUUGUUGGGUAGGGGAGCGUUCUGUAAGCCGUCGAAGGUGGCCUGUGAGGGCUGCUGGAGGUAUCAGAAGUGCGAAUGCUGACAUAAGUAACGAUAAUGCGGGUGAAAAACCCGCACGCCGGAAGACCAAGGGUUCCUGUCCAACGUUAAUCGGGGCAGGGUGAGUCGACCCCUAAGGCGAGGCUGAAAAGCGUAGUCGAUGGGAAACAGGUUAAUAUUCCUGUACUCGGUGUUACUGCGAAGGGGGGACGGAGAAAGCUAGGUUAUCCGGGCGACGGUUGUCCCGGUUUAAGCGUGAAGGUGGAUGACUUUGGUAAAUCCGGGUCGUCAUUAACACUGAGGCGUGAUGACGAGUCACUACGGUGAUGAAGUAACCAAUGCUACGCUUCCAGGAAAAGCCUCUAAGCUCCAGGUAACAUCAAAUCGUACCCCAAACCGACACAGGUGGUCAGGUAGAGAAUACUCAGGCGCUUGAGAGAACUCGGGUGAAGGAACUAGGCAAAAUGGUGCCGUAACUUCGGGAGAAGGCACGCUGAUGGUAGGUGAAGUGACUUGCUCAUGGAGCUGAAAUCAGUCGAAGAUACCAGCUGGCUGCAACUGUUUAAUAAAAACACAGCACUGUGCAAACACGAAAGUGGACGUAUACGGUGUGACGCCUGCCCGGUGCCGGAAGGUUAAUUGAUGGGGUCAGCCGCAAGGCGAAGCUCUUGAUCGAAGCCCCGGUAAACGGCGGCCGUAACUAUAACGGUCCUAAGGUAGCGAAAUUCCUUGUCGGGUAAGUUCCGACCUGCACGAAUGGCGUAAUGAUGGCCAGGCUGUCUCCACCCGAGACUCAGUGAAAUUGAACUCGCUGUGAAGAUGCAGUGUACCCGCGGCAAGACGGAAAGACCCCGUGAACCUUUACUAUAGCUUGACACUGAACCUUGAGCCUUGAUGUGUAGGAUAGGUGGGAGGCUUUGAAGCGUGGACGCCAGUCUGCGUGGAGCCAACCUUGAAAUACCACCCUUUAAUGUUUGAUGUUCUAACGUGGACCCGUAAUCCGGGUUGCGGACAGUGUCUGGUGGGUAGUUUGACUGGGGCGGUCUCCUCCCAAAGCGUAACGGAGGAGCACGAAGGUUAGCUAAUCCUGGUCGGACAUCAGGAGGUUAGUGCAAAGGCAUAAGCUAGCUUGACUGCGAGAGUGACAGCUCGAGCAGGUGCGAAAGCAGGUCUUAGUGAUCCGGUGGUUCUGAAUGGAAGGGCCAUCGCUCAACGGAUAAAAGGUACUCCGGGGAUAACAGGCUGAUACCGCCCAAGAGUUCAUAUCGACGGCGGUGUUUGGCACCUCGAUGUCGGCUCAUCACAUCCUGGGGCUGAAGUAGGUCCCAAGGGUAUGGCUGUUCGCCAUUUAAAGUGGUACGCGAGCUGGGUUUAGAACGUCGUGAGACAGUUCGGUCCCUAUCUGCCGUGGGCGUUGGAAGAUUGAGAGGGGUUGCUCCUAGUACGAGAGGACCGGAGUGAACGCACCACUGGUGUACGGGUUGUGAUGCCAAUUGCAUUGCCCGGUAGCUAAGUGCGGAAGAGAUAACCGCUGAAAGCAUCUAAGCGGGAAACUUGCCUCGAGAUGAGUCUUCCCUGGGUACUUGAUACCCCUGAAGGGCCGUUGAAGACGACGACGUAGAUAGGCUGGGUGUGUAAGCGUAGCGAUACGUUGAGCUAACCAGUACUAAUGACCCGAGAGGCUUAACCUUACAACACCGAAGGUGUUU